rnacentral:lncRNA from 10 species
CCCUUUGCCUCCCUCAUCAGCAAGGCACCCCUCUCCACCCCUCGCCUGCUCAUCAACAAGGAGAAAGCUGGCCAGGAAACUAAGACACAGAGAGGACAAGUCACUUGACCAAAGUCACUGAGCUGGCUGGGCGCAAUGGCUCACGCCUGUAAUUCCAGCACUUUGGGAGGCCGAGGCGGGUGGAUCACCUGAGGUCAGGAGUUCGAGACCAGCCUGACCAACAUGGUGAAACCCCGUCUCUACUAAUAAUACAAAAUUAGCCGGGCAUGGUGCUGGGCACCUGUCAUCCAGGCUACUCGGGAGGUUGAGGCGGGAGAAUCACUUGAACCCAGGAGGUGGAGGUUGCAGUGAGCCGAGAUCACAUCAUUGCACUCCAGCCUGGGCAACAAGAGUGAAACUUUGUCUCAAAAAAAACCAAAAAAACAACAACAAAAAAAAAACAAA